rnacentral:sRNA from 1 species
CCUGAAAUUUUUCUGGGUUUCAGCACCGUUGUGAC